GACGAACGCUGGCGGCGUGCCUAAUACAUGCAAGUAGGACGAAGAUGCGAACGGGUUAGUAACGCGUAGGUAACUACCUAUUAGAGGGGGAUAACUAUUGGCAACGAUAGAUAGUACCGCAUACUAGUAGAUGGAGCUGCGUUGUAUUAGCUAGUAGGGCGGGUGAUGGCCUACCUAGGCAACGAUACAUAGCCGACCUGAGAGGGUGAUCAGCCACACUGGGACGGAGAGACGGCCCAGACUCCUACGGGAGGCAGCAGUGGGGAAUCUUCGGCAAUGGACGCAAGUCUGACCGAGCAACGCCGCGUGAGUGAAGAAGGUUUUCGGAUCGUAAAGCUCUGUUGUGAGAGAAGCGGUAUCUAACCAGAAAGCCACGGCUAACUACGUGCCAGCAGCCGCGGUAAUAC
rnacentral:rRNA from 1 species